GACCGAAAUCGAUCGAUCGAAAUCGCGAUAGAAGCGGACGCUGAUGCUCGCACAGGUAGAUUUCUUGCUGCGGCAGCGAUGGGCUAGGUUUUAGAUCAGAUCGGGGGCUUCUUUUGAGGGAUUGUGGCAGCGGCAUCGGCAUUCCGAGAAAUAUGGAAGAAUCGCUGUUCGAAGGCAUGGAUUUCGUGCUGUCUGUAGCUCCGGAGCAAGAUGGAGAAAGGGAGCCAUCGCCGCCAGUCAGUGCUGUGGCGGAGGCUCCUCCUCCGCCUGUGGAGAGCAGUUCUAGAGGGGCUUUGGACGAGGAUCUAUUCACUGGAAUGAGCAUGCUAUCGAUCUCAUCGAGUCAAGAGGCUGCGGAUUCUUCGGGGAAUGGCGAGGCAAGGAUUUCUCUCUCGGAUCCUUCAUGCAUGGGAAGGAAGAGCUUCGACACUAUCCUGGCUGCCUAUGACAGUGCUCCAAGCGCAGGAACCAAAGCUACUAGUACGAGUACGAUCUCGAUCUCUUCAAGAGGUGGUGCUGGCAGGAAGAAAAAGAAGAGUCUUAGGAUCGGGUAUGGUAGAGACAACGAAGAUGGAGAAGAUAGAGAAAUGGUUUUCAGUGACCAGGCAGAGAUCAAGAAGCUCGUGCACGCUUCCGAGGUUGUAGAGCUUGGGACGAGCUUUCCAGAGAGCGAUGGAGUCUCGGUGAGCGCCUCAGAGUUCUCGCAGCAGGAAAUGGAGUUGGAGAUCGAAGAUGGACUGGCCGACGACACGAAAGUUUUCAAGGAGGAUACACAAGUUUUUCCCAAGGAGGACAGUGAAAUUGCGAGGGAAAUCACGAAAGCUGGCGAUGAGAAAGAGGAGAAAACUUUGCAUGCCUCGGUUGAAGAGUCUAAGACUGUUGUUCUCGUGGAGGCCGCAAGGGUGGUGGAAACAGCACCAGAAGUGGAAGACAACGUUGAUACAAACGAUCCGAAAAGUAGCACGGUGACUUUGGCUAUGCGAAGGAGGCUUGAGGCAAUUCAGGAGGACAUUGCGAGAAAAUUACGAGACCUUGAAGCCAAAGCUGCUGAAGCGUCGUCUUCAAGAAAAAUGGCGGCACAGGUACGGAGAAGAGCUGCGGAGGAGCUAUCUUCGACCACAGCAAAGCGGAAGGCGUUGGAAGUUGAGCUUGAAAGUGCGUGCGAGAGAGAAGACUUUGAUCUGGCUGAUAGAUUGAGCCAGGAGGUUUCAGAUGCUGAGAAGUCGCUAGAGUUGGCAGACGUGGCUUUCAAAGAGGCUGAUUCAAAAUAUGAUCUGGCUGCAGUGGAAAUGGAGACGAUAGUAUCACUGAAAAUCAGUAUAGAAGAAGAAGGAGCCGCAGCACUUGCAGAAUUCCAAAAGGAGGCACAAGCCGCAGCAGAAAAGGUGGAAAUGGAAGCAUCAGAAACUGCUAGGUUGGAAAUGGAAAGUCUGACCUCCAAAGAAGAGGAGCUGGACAUGAAAAGUACUCAAUAUUUGCUCGAACUGCGAGCAUUGGAAGAAGCCAAGGUCGAACUCAACAGGACGAUUGACGAAGCCGUUGAACCAGAUGUCCGUGACAAAACUGGCCAUUUAGCAGAGCGUCAAGUGCUUGUUGAAGAGCUCGAAGAUCUACUCAGAAAGGUGAAAGACAAAGAGUCCGAAAUUGCCAGGCGCGACAAUCUCAUCAAAGAAAUCGAUCUGAAAAUUGCUGCUGUGGCUGCGACUUUCGAAGAGAAGCAACUCAGUAUAGAGACGGAUUUGUCGAGAGUCACGAGCUCUUUGGAGGCGCUUGACACGGUUUCAGCUGGUAUACAAUCUGCACGGAAGGAUGUGGAGGAAAGCUUGACUAUGGCCGAGGCAGAGGGAGAAUGUCUAAAGACCACGGCAGAAGCUGCGCAAGAGCGGGCUAUAUUUUUGCAAGAAGAACUUGGAAGGUGGCGGAAAGCAGCUAAGCUGUCCAGGGAAAUUAAGGAGAAAAAGGGGGAUCUUGUUAGGAAAGAAGAAGAACUUCUAGCGGAUUCUCAGGCACUAAGGCAACAAGCAUCGGAGGCGCGAGCGUCGCUACAGGAGUUGUCAGCAACGAAAAUGAAAUUACAAGAAGACAUCCGCGCCGCAAAGCAAAAGCUGGCACAUCACGAGAAACGUGGCCCCGCGCUGGAAGCUGAGAAAAGGCUUGCGGCAGCUACACGCAAAUUUAAAGAGGCAGCUAGACUUUCAGCUGAGGCCAAAGCAUUCCGGGCAGAGCAGGAAGCUGUCACAGAGGAACUACAAAAAUGCAGCUCGGAGCUGCAGCAAGUCGAGGAGCGUAUAGAGACCAAGAUUGUUUCUCUCUCAAACAUCGAAGGCUUGAUAGCCGUCAAGGAAAGGGAGGCAGCGCAGGCGUGUUGUGAAAGGCUGAGGCUGGUUGCUGUGGCUGCCAGAAACGAAAGAAACGUGGCGAUCGAGCUCGAUGACAUCGAGGAGGCGGAGAGUCUACAAGCCGAAGCAGUUGCGGCAGACGCAGAGGCAGACGAGCUCCAGCGAAUACAUCAGUUUCAAAGCGCGUUCCAAAGCCUUUCAGCGGAAGGCGAGGACAGAGAUGGCGACGCCGUAGAAAAUUGAAAGCCAGGACUACCGGAGGAAGCUAGCUUGAUUUACUCAAGGUUUUGUGUUUCAAGAGACUGUCGCGAAGCAGCCGGCGCAUGGUCUUCCCGGCUGGUGACUUGGGGAUUUCUGACACGAAUUCAAUCCUUCGUAUCUUUUUGUAAGCUGCAACCUGUACGAGCAAAAAGAGAGAGUUACCUUGGACGAGACAAAAUCAAAGAUUUCUUCCUGCGAGAGAUCGCUUCCUUGCUUCCUCACGAUGCAUGCCACAGGAAUCUCUCCAGCAGCUUCAUCCGGGAAUCUGUAAUUCACACCACGUCUUCGAUGAGAGGAUGAGAUAUUAGAAUUGCUUCCAGCUCCGCUGGUGGAACCUACGUGAACAAGACAGCAUAAGUUCCUCUCUUUCUGAAAACCCGCUCUCACCUGAAAGCCUUUAUAUUUGAUCAGCUCUUUUACUCUGUCAACGAUGAAAAUGUCACCGUCGUCAUCAAUGUAUCCUACGUCUCCGCUCCUCCGCGGACGCAAAUCUCUCCAGGAGUGUUCGCUGGUGCGCAGUGGGAGAGCGUAACACAGCUAUAUUCCGUCAACCCAUACGCCUGCAGAGUUCUAAGCUCAGACGAAUCUUGAGAACCAGAAUUAUUACCUGUCUCAUUUCGACGC